UGAUAACUUGGUAACAUUGAUAU
rnacentral:siRNA from 1 species